UGGCGGACGGGUGAGUAAUGUCUGGGAAACUGCCCGAUGGAGGGGGGUAACUACUGGAAACGGUAGCUAAUACCGCAUAACGUCGCAAGACCAAGAGGGGGACCUUCGGGCCUCUUGCCAUCGGAUGUGCCCAGAUGGGAUUAGCUAGUAGGUGGGGUAACGGCUCACCUAGGCGACGAUCCCUAGCUGGUCUGAGAGGAUGACCAGCCACACUGGAACUGAGACACGGUCCAG
rnacentral:rRNA from 1 species